AUUCCCUUUGGCAGCAUAUAUACUAAAACUGGAAUGAUGCAGAGAAGAUUAGCAUGGUCCCUGUGAAAGCCAUCCAUACAAAUUUGUGUUUUAUUUUU
ensembl:snRNA U6 U6 spliceosomal RNA